rnacentral:ncRNA from 1 species
UUAAAUUCGUUAACGAGAAAGAGUAUACUAAUCACUUGUUCCCCAGAGAGUUGGCGCUUUGCUGAAAGCCAAUGUUCAUGUGUUAGUAGAAAAUCCUCUCCGAGAAGUAAAGCUGAAGUCACAGUAAGCUUUAACGGGAUCCCGCCGUUACAAGGGCCGCGCAUGUUGGUGCGUAGUUUGAGGUGCUGUGAAGGCUAGCAAGUUAGCUUAACACAGAAUUAGGGUGGUAUCGCGAGUUCAAUCUCGUCCCUUAC